rnacentral:rRNA from 1 species
AAUUACCCACUCCCGGCACGGGGAGGUAGUGACGAAAAAUAACGAUACGGGACUCAUCCGAGGCCCCGUAAUCGGAAUGAGUACACUCUAAAACCUUUAACAAAAAUCAAUUAGAGGGCAAGUCUGGUGCCAGCAGCCGCGGUAAUUCCAGCUCUAAUAGCGUAUAUUAAAGUUGUUGCGGUUAAAAAGCUCGUAGUCGAAUUUGUGUCUCGCGCCGCUGGUUCAUCGCUCGCGGUGUCAACUGGCGUGUGGCGGGACGUCCUGUCGGUGGGCUCUGCGGAUUGUUUGCUUGUCAGGCGUUCGUAGCCCUGUGCGUGUCCGUCUUGUGCGGGUGCGUUCCCCAUCGCGGUGCUCUUUAUUGAGUGUCGAGGUGGGCCGGCACGUUUACUUUGAACAAAUUAGAGUGCUUAAAGCAGGCCAUUUUUGCCUGAAUACUGUGUGCAUGGAAUAAUGGAAUAGGACCUCGGUUCUAUUUUGUUGGUUUUAGGAAUGCCGAGGUAAUGAUUAAUAGGAACGGAUGGGGGCAUUCGUAUUGCGACGUUAGAGGUGAAAUUCUUGGAUCGUCGCAAGACGGACAGAAGCGAAAGCAUUUGCCAAAAACGUUUUCAUUGAUCAAGAACGAAAGUUAGAGGUUCGAAGGCGAUCAGAUACCGCCCUAGUUCUAACCAUAAACGAUGCCAGCUAGCGAUCCGCCGACGUUCCUCCGAUGACUCGGCGGGCAGCUUCCGGGAAACCAAAGCUUUUGGGUUCCGGGGGAAGUAUGGUUGCAAAGCUGAAACUUAAAGGAAUUGACGGAAGGGCACCACCAGGAGUGGAGCCUGCGGCUUAAUUUGACUCAACACGGGAAAUCUCACCAGGUCCGGACACCGGAAGGAUUGACAGAUUGAGAGCUCUUUCUUGAUUCGGUGGGUGGUGGUGCAUGGCCG